rnacentral:rRNA from 1 species
AUUGAACGCUGGCGGCAGGCCUAACACAUGCAAGUCGAGCGGAUGAAGGGAGCUUGCUCCUGGAUUCAGCGGCGGACGGGUGAGUAAUGCCUAGGAAUCUGCCUGGUCGUGGGGGCUAACGUCCGGAAACGGGCGCUAAUACCGCAUACGUCCUGAGGGAGAAAGUGGGGGAUCUUCGGACCUCACGCUAUCAGAUGAGCCUAGUUCGGAUUAGCUAGUUGGUGGGGUAAAGGCCUACCAAGGCGACGAUCCGUAACUGGUCUGAGAGGAUGAUCAGUCACACUGGAACUGAGACACGGUCCAGACUCCUACGGGAGGCAGCAGUGGGGAAUAUUGGACAAUGGGCGAAAGCCUGAUCCAGCAAUGCCGCGUGUGUGAAGAAGGUCUUCGGAUUGUAAAGCACUUUAAGUUGGGAGGAAGGGCAGUAAGUUAAUACCUUGCUGUUUUGACGUUACCAACAGAAUAAGCACCGGCUAACUUCGUG